AUUGAACGCUGGCGGCAGGCUUAAUACAUGCAAGUCGAGGGGCAGCAUGACUGUAGCAAUACAGUUGAUGGCGACCGGCAAACGGGUGCGGAACACGUACAGAACCUUCCUUCGAGCGGGGAAUAGCCCAGAGAAAUUUGGAUUAAUACCCCAUAGUAUUACGGAGUGGCAUCACUUUGUAAUUAAAGAUUUAUCACUUGAAGAUGGCUGUGCGGCUGAUUAGGUAGUUGGCGGGGUAACGGCCCACCAAGCCUGUGAUCAGUAACUGGUGUGAGAGCACGACCAGUCACACGGGCACUGAGACACGGGCCCGACUCCUACGGGAGGCAGCAGUAAGGAAUAUUGGUCAAUGAACGAAAGUCUGAACCAGCCAUGCCGCGUGGAGGAUGAAGGUCCUCUGGAUUGUAAACUUCUUUUAUAUGGGACGAAAAAAGGCUUUUCUAAGUCGUCUGACGGUACCAUAUGAAUAAGCACCGGCUAACUCCGUGCCAGCCGCCGCGGUAAGAC
rnacentral:rRNA from 1 species